rnacentral:lncRNA from 10 species
GUAGGUGUAUAAUUAUAAUAUUUCUAAUAAGAAAUAUAUUUGGUCUUUGUCUCCAGUUUCUGGUGCAAAGCUCUUAAAACCCUUGGAAUUUCCUGAGUGAUAGGAGUGUCUUUGUUAUUCACAACAUCACAGGGACAAUAGCUCCUGUACUCACGAUUCUUCUGGACCUCAGCCUAUGUACCUUUUCAUUUGGUUCAUCCAUAUCCUUUAUAAUACUCUUUACAAUGAGCUGGUAAAUAUAAGUAAAUGUUUUCCUGAGUUUUGUGUGCCAUUCUAGCAAAUUAGCAAACCAAGGAAAGGGUUAUGAGAAUCCCUGAUUAAGACCUCAAGAUCAGUCAGAAGUACAAGUGAUCCAGACUUGCAAUUGGCAUCUAAAGUGAACGGGGGCAGUCUUGUGGGGCUGAGCCCUUAACCUGUGAGGUCUGUGCUAACUCCACAUAAUGAGAGUUAGUAUUGAAUUGAGUUGUAGGACACAUGGUUGGUGUCCAGGGACUUGAAUUGCUUGGUAUGGAAAAAAAAAAAAAACACACAUUUGGUGUCAGAAUUGUUGUGAACAGAGUAACAGUUUUCCCAGAAUAGGGCAUGAUGUUUUUGUUUCCUAUAUUCAUUUCUGGCCCUCUUACAAGUCUGUAAACAGAUUCCAGUGAUAUGUUUUCCAACAGGGAAAGCAAUGGGGUGAACCAGAGCAUUGAGAGAAAAUUGCCUGCAAUCUCCACCACACUCCCACCUGCCACCAAAUAACACAGCUAAGGGGUCUAAGCUCUGCUAAAAAUGACAGGUGUGUAGUCAACCUCUGUGUAAGUUCUGUUUCCUUGGAAGGGCCUUUCUAAGAACAGAGGUAGACUCUAAGUUGUUUUUUUGUUUGUUUGUCUUGUUUGUUUUUUGCUUAAUGGAAAACCAGGCUGUCAACAGAUUUUGAGACCAAUACUUCUAAGUUAGAAUGGUUAACCAAAUCAUCAAGGGAGAAAUCUAGAAAAAAUACUGGAGUCUCGUUCUAAGCAUGAGCUUUUGACACAAAUAGAUGUGGCUUUAAAUCUUAAAACAUGCUGCCAUUUAUGAGCUUUAGGAUCUUGAGCAUGUUAGUUAAUUUAUUCUAGCCUCUUUUCCCAUCUAGGGUGACCAUUCCUUCCACUUUUCCUGGUACAGUACAAGCUAUACCUGUUGUCCCUUGAUAAUUAAUAAAAGUUGCCUUAUCAUUCUGAAAGGGCCCCAGUUUGGAUAAUAAAUGUUAUGGCUACAUCCAUUCUUCUGUAAAAUGGAAAUAAUAAGCACCUCCCAGGGUGGUUAUGAAAGCUAACCAUAAUCUAUAUUAGUAACUACUAUAAUGCCUUGCACAUAGAAAGUGCUCAGUGAAAACUAGUUCUCCUUUACCUGUUCACACCAGAUCUAUACUGUCCAGUACAGUAGCCAUUAGCCUCACAUUGCUACUGAGGAAUGUGCUAUAAAUGCAAAAAAUGCACAAGAUUUUGAAGAUUUAGUACAACAAAAGAAGAUUAAAUAUCUCAUUAAUAAUUUUAUAUUAAUUACAUGUCCAAAUGAUAUUAUUUUGGAUAUACUGUAUUAAGUUAAACAAAAUUUAUUGUUAAAAUUAAUUACAACUGUUUAUUUUUACUUUUUUUGGCAUGACUUCUUAAAAAAACCCUGGAUCACAGCUCCAGAUGUUCUGUUUAUGUAACUGCUAACCCCCUAACCUCAUCCACCAUCACCACCUCACUCUUAGCUUCCCCCUGCCCAGGAAUUCUUCCUUCUAAAACUCAAUGCAAGAAUCAAGUACUCUUUCAUCAUAUUUACCAACAUGUUCUUACUUUAUUUUCUGGAUUUUGGGAGGUAAAAGGGCAGUCAACUAGGGGGCAAAAUAAAAUCAACCUUGAUCAUGGCUCUCACGAAUGGUUUUUCCUUAGGGAUAGAAGCAUUGACCUUGAAUACAUUAGGAAAGCUGAAGAAUCUGGGUCAACAUUGGAAAAUGUCCAUAUUAACAAAGAAAAAGGAGCUUGGUUUGCCAGAAAAGAUAUUGCAAUCUCUCCCUCGAUCAGAUUUGCUAAUUCUUGUGAAUGCUUGUGAAACACCUCGGGUCUCAAAUCCAAAUCACAUGAAGAACUAGGCCCUUGAGCACAUCAUUGGUGCUGUCUCUUUGACAAAAAGCAUUUUUAGUUGAUGGAAAAUCACCAACUUUCACCCCUAAAAACAUCUGUGAAGAGCAGAAAACAGCCUGACUCUUAUAGAUGUCCCUGACAGCAAGCCAACCCUGGGAGAAACAAUGGUUUGGAACAAUAGCACCUGAGGUGGAAGAAAACACAGUGGGCCUCUCACUUUCGCUCUCUAACCACAACAAUUGAAAGAGACUAUGGCCUGAAAAAUCUAUCUGCUCCUAAAUGGUACCCAGAUGGAAAUCACAGCUGCUGUCAUGUACCACCUGUACCUACGCCCAUCCAUCUUCAGAACACGCCUGGGGCAGAGGAGAGAAAUCGAGUUGACAGAGCAGUUAAAGAGCCUCUCUUUUCUCCUGCAUACUUUUCCUUUUAUCUUUUUCUCUUCAGUUUCAGAGCUUCUUGUUCUCACCUUCAUGCUGUGGCAAUGCUGACAAAAGAAAACUGCAGCCUCUGAGAACCAGUGUUCUGGAGACUGAGACAUCCAAGGUUGGCGGGGGGCACAUCUGGUGAGAGAGAGCCUUCUUGCUGGUGGGGACUCUGAAGUGCCCCACAGGGUAUCCCAUGGAGAGGGAGCUGAGGGUGCUCCCAUGUGCCCACUUAGCACUCUCUUCCUCUUCUUAUAAGCCACCAGUUCCCUUCCCAUGAUAACUCAUUAAUCCAUUAACCCAUUAAUUGAAGAAUGGAUUAAUCCAUCCAUGAAGGCCAAGCCCUCAUAACCAAUCACCUCGUAAAGGCCCACCUCUCAAUACUGCCACAUUGGGGAUUAAGUUUCAACAUGAGUUUUGGAGAGGACAUUCAAACCACAGUACUAAGCCAAUGCUUCUUCCUCUACAGGGAAACUGGGAAACUGACACUUCCUGCCUUAUAUUGUUGCAGUUGCAAAGAUCAAAUACCAAGGUUAUGGGAAGAUGUUUUGAAGCCCCAUAUAAAUAUGUAAUUUAAUUUAUUCCAAUAAAGACUCAUUGCACAGGCUGGGCACAAUGGCUCACACCUCUCAUUUCAGCUCUUUGGGAGGUCAAGGUGGGCCGAUUGCUUGAGCCCAGGAGUUCGCGACCAGCCUGGGCAAUAUGAUGAAACCCCAUUUCUACAAAAAAAAUACAAAAAUUAGCUGGGUGUGGAGGUGUGCAUGCUUGUAGUCCCAGCUACUUGAGAGGCUGAGUGGGAGAUCGCUUGAGCUUGAGAGGCAGGGAUUGCAGUGAGCCGAGAUUAUGCCACUGCACUCCAGCCUGGGCGACAGAGCAAGACCAUGUGUCAAAAACAAACCAACCAACAAACAAACAAAGACUCAUUGCACAUAUAAGCAAUAGAUCAACCAUUUUCAAAGAGCAUAACCAAAAAAAAAAUCCAACACUACACAAAUCUUGAAUAUAAUUUAACCUUUCUUCGAAAGUUUAGAAAGUAUUUCAAGAUGAGGCAAUGCUUUUCUCUAACAUUAACAUGAGCAUCGAUUACAGAAAUGUUCCACUGAAUUACAUGGCAAAAUUAAAAUUCUGAUGAUUUUAUGUACAUGGUUGCUUGAAAUAUGAGCUAUCAGUAGCUACUAUAUCCCAUUAGGCCUUUCAAGUUCACAUCAUAAGUUGUAUAAGAGAUAGGACACCUCCAUUGAAAACAUCAGUCGACUUAGACGAUUUCUGUCAGAUAUUAUUGAUUCAGCAAUAUAAGAAUGCGACGAUGUAGUCCCAGCUACUGGGGAGGCUGAGGCAGGAGAAUGGCGUGAACCUGGGAGGCAGAGCUUGCAGUGAGCCUGGGAGACGGAGCUUGCAGUGAGCCGAGAUCGCGCCACUGCACUCCAGCCUGGGUGACAGAGCAAGACUUCGUCUCAAAAAAAAAAAAAAAAAAAAGUCAACGAAAGGACAUGGGUUUGGAGAGUAACCAGAGAUGCUGCCAAUUAAAGAUACCCCUUACUCAAGACACUUUAUUUCUCUCUGUUGGAACAUUGUCAUAAUAUACUGUCAUCUACUAAAAAAUUACUGUAAUAAAUAUAAAAAUCUUCACUGUCUGCCAUGACAGGAACCGCAUGAGCUGUUAUGCCCUUCUGCAACGCAGAACUUUCCCAACCAUAUAUGGUGGCCCUGAGAUGUGUAGUUUUGCCCUUUACACCUUUAUUUUCUAUUAGUACAUUUACUUUUUAAAAAAGUAUGAACUAUCAUUUGCAAUUUGAAAAACAUCAAAUACAGAACAUUUAAAAAAUAUAUCGCUAGACCUCAAAAUGAAUCUUAAUGGCAAUCACAGAUUUCAACCCUUUCAACCAGAUUUCUGAGUGUCUGAACAUAGAUGUAGGCUCUGAGACUAUGAUUUCUAGCUUGUUUUUCCUAAAUAUUCACUGUGUAAUUGGGACACUAUCACUUAGCCCCUUUGUUCCUUAUUAUAUCAUUUAUAAAUUUUAUAACUAUAUUUUAAUAAAGGUACUUAAUAUCUAGAUAAUAGAUAAAUGGUUUGUCUAUAAUCCCUAAUUUAUAUACAAUAAGUCUACCAACUUUUAUGGUAGAACUUCAUAAGUUUUAAACUAGUAUAAUAUUUAAUUUUUAGUAUAUAAACAUCUGAUGUGGUUUGGCUGUGUCCUCACCCAAAUCUCUCCAUGAAUUGUAAUAAUCCCCAGGUGUCAAGGGCAGGGCCAGGUGGAAAUAAUUGAAUCACUAGGGCGGUUUCCCCCAUACUGUUCUCAUGGUCCUGAGUAAGUCUCCUGAGAUCUGAUGGUUUUAUAAAUGGGAGUUUUCCUGCACUAGUGCUCUUGCCUGCUGACAUGUGAGAUGUGACUUUGCUCCUCAUUCACCUUCCACCAUGAUUGUGAGGCCUCCCCAGCAAUGUGGAACUAUGAGUCAAUUAAACCUUUUUCCUUUAUAAAUUACCCUGUCUCGGGUAUGUCCUUAUUAGCAGCAUGAGAACAGACUAAUACAAUAUCCCAUCAAAUUAUAAAUGAAUCUGAGGCUCUGAUUCAGACAAAGGAUGGAUGGAUUGGUAGUCACAUUUAUCUAUAGAAUAAAACUGGAAUGACAUACAGUACAAUGUUUCAGUGAUUCAUGAAUGGUUGGGAUAUGGCAGUUUUAAUUUUCAUAUUUGUACAUUUCUGUAUUUGGUGAAUUUUGUAUAAUGAUCAUGAAUUGUUUCUGUUGAGAAUGUUGUUGGAACAGUUGGGCUGGGAAAAUCUCUACCUCCCACAAAGUAUUUUGGAGAAAGGAACUGUGAACAGCCUGGAGGAAAAUUUAAUAUUUAACUCAAACAAGUGGCAUCCACUAUAUUCACACUGGCAGAGCUUUUCAGAAUUAGAGUCUUGCUUUCUUUUUGUAAGCAUCAGGAUUGAUUUUUAUAUGUGUUCUAAUCUUAGUUUAGUCCUUUAACCAUUUUUCCCAGGAUAAUAGAAAUGAAAGAAUGUUGUAUUUUGGCUUGCUGAGUUAGAAUGAAUGGAAAAAACUUAAAGGAAGCAGCAGAAGGAACAGUGAGAAUGACAUACAUUUUCUUUUUUUCUUUUUUUUUUUUUGAGAGUGAGUCUUGCUCUGUGACCCAGGCUAGAGUGCAGUAGCACGAUCUCGGCUCACUGCAAACUCUGCCUCCCGGGUUCCAGCGAUUCUCCUGCCUCAGCCUCCCGAAUAGCUGGGAUUAGAGGCGUCCACUACAGCGCCUGGCUAAUUUUUGUAUUUUUUAGUAGAGACAGGGUUUCAUCAUUUUGGCCAGGCUGGUCUGGAACUCCUGACCUCAUGAUCCACUUGCCUCAGUCUCCCAAAAUGCUGGGAUUACAGGCAUGAGCCACUGAGCCCAGCCGACAUACAUUUUCUCUAGAUCACUGCAGCCUAGCUUAAAUAUGCUUCUCUAGGUCAUCUCUCUAUUUCCACCUAUAUCUGUGCAUCAACAUCUCAGGCUAUUAUGUUCUCAAAUCUGUUUUCAAUAUGAAAAUACAGACAUGAGAAAGAGCCAAUGCUGUUCUCAGGAUCUUACAAUUCAUUCUGCAUCUACACAGUCCUGGAGUUCCAAACACAGAUUGCCAUAACAAGAGAAAUUAGCCAGAGCACUAACUGUUUUCAAAAUAACAAUUCAUUUCACUAAAAUCAGUGAAUGGCUCUUUUCAAAGCGUAAUUAUACUUUCUAGGGGAAGACAUUAGGUCUACUGAAAGUAAGUCACCUAAUUUACAGAUACCAAUGAUGAAAAUCUUCUCAAGGCAUUGGGGGAAUAAAAGACAUUAAUUCUCAGUUUGUAAAUGAACAUGAAAUGUGAUGUGCCCACUACCAUGUGGGUGUUUCUCUGCAGAUCUGCUAGUAAGCAGGCAUAAUGUGCCAGUAAGAAGGCAACCUGGAAAACAUAGCCAGGAACUGGGACAACUGGGAAGCUGAUAGAAAGAGUUGUUUAAUGUGUAAGCUGUCGUCUGCACACACAGAAGCAUUUCCAUGGCUAUGAACAAAGGGUAACUGCGGGGUGGUUUAUUAAUUGAAAAUAAAUGUCCUUUUCUUUGUGAAAUGGCUAGAUAUUGAAAAACCAAACACAUGCUAAGAGGACGUGCACAGUCAGCAGAGAAACAUCAGCUUGGAAAAAUCUGCCAACAAGGAGAAAGUUUAGAAUGGAUUGGUUUCCUGUCUCUGCACAACAAAUAAACCACCAAGGGAUUCCCAAGGAUCUAAAUAAUGAACCAAUCUCUCUCUCUCCUUUUCCCUUUCCAUCUCCCUCUCCCUCACUCCCUUCUCUUACGUGCAUCGGAGAAUGGUGAGCAAGUACCUAGGGAACUACAGUAUUUUGGGUCCUCCUUCUGACAAGGCAACUAACACCUGAAAAAAAAAAAUGAAUCCCAUACAUUUCAUACUAAAGAACUGGGGGCUUACUACGAGACAAAAGAAAAAUUAGAUCUCUAGUUCGGAAGGCAAUUUUUUCCACAUCGUUAAAUAAAUAUGGUCAGCAUUCAACAAUUGUGCUGAUGAAGUGAGUAUGUGGAUAUAUUACAGAAUCAAUUUUCUUACCUAUUUUAUUUCUAGGCUCAGCAUCAGGUUGUUAAUUUUGACCCAGCCAUCCCAUUACUGGGUAUAUACCCAAAGGACUAUAAAUCAUGCUGCUAUAAAGACACAUGCACACGUAUGUUUAUUGCGGCAUUAUUC